rnacentral:rRNA from 1 species
CCUUAGCCUACUAACUAGUCGACUCAAUCUCGAUUGAGAAUGACUUCUUAGAGGGACUUUGUGGUCUAAACACAAGGAAGUUUGAGGCAAUAACAGGUCUGUGAUGCCCUUAGAUGUCCUGGGCCGCACGCGUGCUACACUGAUGCAUACAGCGAGUACUCCCAGCUCCGCGAGGCUGCUGGUAAUCAGCAAUAUGCAUCGUGAUGGGGAUAGAUCUUUGGAAUUAUAGACCUUGAACGAGGAAUUCCUAGUAAUCGCAGGUCAUCACCCUGCGUUGACUAAGUCCCUGCCCUUUGUACACACCGCCCGUCGCUCCUACCGAUUUCGAGUGAUCCGGUGAAUCAUUCGGACCGCGUGGGCUUGACCUAACGUGGAAAGUCUAGUAAACC